AGAGUUUGAUCCUGGCUCAGGAUGAACGCUAGCUAUAGGCUUAACACAUGCAAGUCGAGGGGCAGCAUGGUCUUAGCUUGCUAAGGCCGAUGGCGACCGGCGCACGGGUGAGUAACGCGUAUCCAACCUGCCUUACACUCUUGGACAGCCUUCUGAAAGGGAGAUUAAUACAAGAUGUUAUCAUGAGUAAGCAUUUUCGCAUGAUUAAAGGUUUACCGGUGUAAGAUGGGGAUGCGUUCCAUUAGAUAGUAGGCGGGGUAACGGCCCACCUAGUCUUCGAUGGAUAGGGGUUCUGAGAGGAAGGUCCCCCACAUUGGAACUGAGACACGGUCCAAACUCCUACGGGAGGCAGCAGUGAGGAAUAUUGGUCAAUGGACGAGAGUCUGAACCAGCCAAGUAGCGUGAAGGAUGAAGGUUCUAUGGAUUGUAAACUUCUUUUAUACGGGAAUAAACGGAUCCACGUGUGGAUUUUUGCAUGUACCGUAUGAAUAAGGAUCGGCUAACUCCGUGCCAGCAGCCGCGGUAAUACGGAGGAUCCGAGCGUUAUCCGGAUUUAUUGGGUUUAAAGGGAGCGUAGAUGGGUUGUUAAGUCAGUUGUGAAAGUUUGCGGCUCAACCGUAAAAUUGCAAUUGAUACUGGCAGUCUUGAGUACAGUUGAGGUAGGCGGAAUUCGUGGUGUAGCGGUGAAAUGCUUAGAUAUCACGAAGAACUCCGAUUGCGAAGGCAGCUUACUAACCUGUAACUGACAUUGAUGCUCGAAAGUGUGGGUAUCAAACAGGAUUAGAUACCCUGGUAGUCCACACGGUAAACGAUGAAUACUCGCUGUAGGCGAUAUACAGUCUGCGGCCAAGCGAAAGCAUUAAGUAUUCCACCUGGGGAGUACGCCGGCAACGGUGAAACUCAAAGGAAUUGACGGGGGCCCGCACAAGCGGAGGAACAUGUGGUUUAAUUCGAUGAUACGCGAGGAACCUUACCCGGGCUUAAAUUGCAACCGAAUAUGGCGGAAACGCUAUAGCUAGCAAUAGCGGUUGUGAAGGUGCUGCAUGGUUGUCGUCAGCUCGUGCCGUGAGGUGUCGGCUUAAGUGCCAUAACGAGCGCAACCCUUGCCGAUAGUUACUAACAGGUUAUGCUGAGGACUCUGUCGGGACUGCCAUCGUAAGAUGUGAGGAAGGUGGGGAUGACGUCAAAUCAGCACGGCCCUUACGUCCGGGGCUACACACGUGUUACAAUGGGGGGUACAGAGGGCUGCUACCACGCAAGUGGAUGCCAAUCCCAAAAACCUCUCUCAGUUCGGAUUGAAGUCUGCAACCCGACUUCAUGAAGCUGGAUUCGCUAGUAAUCGCGCAUCAGCCACGGCGCGGUGAAUACGUUCCCGGGCCUUGCACACACCGCCCGUCAAG
rnacentral:rRNA from 1 species